rnacentral:tRNA from 1 species
ACCCAAAUAGCUCAGUUGAGAGAGCGUUAGACUAUAGAGCGAAAAGUCCCUGAUUCGAACCGGGGUUGCGGCA